GCCCUUGUAGCUCAGUGGUAGAGCACCGACCUUGUAAGUCGGGUUGUCCCGGGUUCGAUUCCUGGUUGGGGCCC
rnacentral:tRNA from 1 species